rnacentral:piRNA from 1 species
UGACCCAAGGCCUGUUCUUCAACACUAAGAU